rnacentral:piRNA from 1 species
UUGUAUGCCCGUCUGCAUUUCCUAGCUCA